GACGAACGCUGGCGGCGUGCUUAACACAUGCAAGUCGAGCGACUGCAUUCUUUUCGGAGGGUGUAUGGAGCGGCGAACGGGUGAGUAACACGUGAGUAAUCUGCCUUUGGCUUGGGAAUAACUUCGGGAAAUCGGGGCUAAUGCCUGAUGUUUACUGUCUGCUGCAUGGUGGGUGGUGGAAAGAUUUUUUGGCCAGGAGUGAGCUCGCGGUCUAUCAGCUUGU
rnacentral:rRNA from 1 species